rnacentral:rRNA from 1 species
UUUAAUUCGAUGCAACGCGAAGAACCUUACCUACUCUUGACAUCCAUGGAAUCUUGUAGAGAUAUGAGAGUGCCUUCGGGAACCAUGAGACAGGUGCUGCAUGGCUGUCGUCAGCUCGUGUUGUGAAAUGUUGGGUUAAGUCCCGCAACGAGCGCAACCCUUAUCCUUUGUUGCCAGCGAUUAGGUCGGGAACUCAAAGGAGACUGCCGGUGAUAAACCGGAGGAAGGUGGGGAUGACGUCAAGUCAUCAUGGCCCUUACGGCCAGGGCUACACACGUGCUACAAUGGCGCAUACAAAGAGAAGCGACCUCGCGAGAGCAAGCGGACCUCAUAAAGUGCGUCGUAGUCCGGAUCGGAGUCUGCAACUCGACUCCGUGAGGUCGGAAUCGCUAGUAAUCGUGGAUCAGAACGCCA